AGAGAUGUCGCCUAGUGGUUUGGGCAGGGCACUGUAAAUGCUCCAGAGUUAUCUAUCGUAGGUUCAAAUCCUAUCAUCUCUA
rnacentral:tRNA from 1 species